GUUGGGUUAAGUCCCGUAACGAGCGCAACCCUUGUCCUUAGUUACCAGCACCUCGGGUGGGCACUCUAAGGAGACUGCCGGUGACAAACCGGAGGAAGGUGGGGAUGACGUCAAGUCAUCAUGGCCCUUACGGCCAGGGCUACACACGUGCUACAAUGGUCGGUACAAAGGGUUGCCAAGCCGCGAGGUGGAGCUAAUCCCAUAAAACCGAUCGUAGUCCGGAUCGCAGUCUGCAACUCGACUGCGUGAAGUCGGAAUCGC
rnacentral:rRNA from 1 species